GUGAGGAAUUUUCCGCAAUGGGCGAAAGUCUGACGGAGCAAUGCCGCGUGAAGGAUGAAGGCCUAUGGGUUGUAAACUUCUUUUCUCAGAAAAGAAUUAUGACGGUAUCUGAGGAAUAAGCAUCGGCUAACUCUGUGCCAGCAGCCGCGGUAAGACAGAGGAUGCAAGCGUUAUCCGGAAUGAUUGGGCGUAAAGCGUCUGUAGGUUGUUUAAAAAGUAUUCUGUCAAAGAUUAGGGCUUAACCCUAGAUAGGCAGAAUAAACUUUUAAGCUAGAGUUUGGUAGAGGCAGAGGGAAUUCCCGGUGGAGCGGUGAAAUGCGUAGAUAUCGGGAGGAACACCAAAGGCGAAGGCACUCUGCUGGGCCAAUACUAACACUGAGAGACGAAAGCGAGGGGAGCAAAUGGGAUUAGAUACCCUUGUAGUCC
rnacentral:rRNA from 1 species